rnacentral:rRNA from 1 species
AUUGAACGCUGGCGGCAGGCCUAACACAUGCAAGUCGAACGGUAACAGGAAGAAGCUUGCUUCUUUGCUGACGAGUGGCGGACGGGUGAGUAAUGUCUGGGAAACUGCCUGAUGGAGGGGGAUAACUACUGGAAACGGUAGCUAAUACCGCAUAAUGUCGCAAGACCAAAGAGGGGGACCUUCGGGCCUCUUGCCAUCGGAUGUGCCCAGAUGGGAUUAGCUAGUAGGUGGGGUAACGGCUCACCUAGGCGACGAUCCCUAGCUGGUCUGAGAGGAUGACCAGCCACACUGGAACUGAGACACGGUCCAGACUCCUACGGGAGGCAGCAGUGGGGAAUAUUGCACAAUGGGCGCAAGCCUGAUGCAGCUAUGCCGCGUGUAUGAAGAAGACCUUCGGGUUGUAAAGUACUUUCAGCGGGGAGGAAGGGAGUAAAGUUAAUACCUUUGCUCAUUGACGUUACCCGCAGAAGAAGCACCGGCUAACUCCGUG